rnacentral:rRNA from 1 species
UUGAACGCUGGCGGCAGGCCUAACACAUGCAAGUCGAACGGUAACAGGAAACAGCUUGCUGUUUCGCUGACGAGUGGCGGACGGGUGAGUAAUGUCUGGGAAACUGCCUGAUGGAGGGGGAUAACUACUGGAAACGGUAGCUAAUACCGCAUAACGUCGCAAGACCAAAGAGGGGGACCUUCGGGCCUCUUGCCAUCGGAUGUGCCCAGAUGGGAUUAGCUAGUAGGUGGGGUAACGGCUCACCUAGGCGACGAUCCCUAGCUGGUCUGAGAGGAUGACCAGCCACACUGGAACUGAGACACGGUCCAGACUCCUACGGGAGGCAGCAGUGGGGAAUAUUGCACAAUGGGCGCAAGCCUGAUGCAGCCAUGCCGCGUGUAUGAAGAAGGCCUUCGGGUUGUAAAGUACUUUCAGCGGGGAGGAAGGGAGUAAAGUUAAUACCUUUGCUCAUUGACGUUACCCGCAGAAGAAGCACCGGCUAACUCCGUGCCAGCAGCCGCGGUAAUACGGAGGGUGCAAGCGUUAAUCGGAAUUACUGGGCGUAAAGCGCACGCAGGCGGUUUGUUAAGUCAGAUGUGAAAUCCCCGGGCUCAACCUGGGAACUGCAUCUGAUACUGGCAAGCUUGAGUCUCGUAGAGGGGGGUAGAAUUCCAGGUGUAGCGGUGAAAUGCGUAGAGAUCUGGAGGAAUACCGGUGGCGAAGGCGGCCCCCUGGACGAAGACUGACGCUCAGGUGCGAAAGCGUGGGGAGCAAACAGGAUUAGAUACCCCGGUAGUCCACGCCGUAAACGAUGUCGACUUGGAGGUUGUGCCCUUGAGGCGUGGCUUCCGGAGCUAACGCGUUAAGUCGACCGCCUGGGGAGUACGGCCGCAAGGUUAAAACUCAAAUGAAUUGACGGGGGCCCGCACAAGCGGUGGAGCAUGUGGUUUAAUUCGAUGCAACGCGAAGAACCUUACCUGGUCUUGACAUCCACGGAAGUUUUCAGAGAUGAGAAUGUGCCUUCGGGAACCGUGAGACAGGUGCUGCAUGGCUGUCGUCAGCUCGUGUUGUGAAAUGUUGGGUUAAGUCCCGCAACGAGCGCAACCCUUAUCCUUUGUUGCCAGCGGUCCGGCCGGGAACUCAAAGGAGACUGCCAGUGAUAAACUGGAGGAAGGUGGGGAUGACGUCAAGUCAUCAUGGCCCUUACGACCAGGGCUACACACGUGCUACAAUGGCGCAUACAAAGAGAAGCGACCUCGCGAGAGCAAGCGGACCUCAUAAAGUGCGUCGUAGUCCGGAUUGGAGUCUGCAACUCGACUCCAUGAAGUCGGAAUCGCUAGUAAUCGUGGAUCAGAAUGCCACGGUGAAUACGUUCCCGGGCCUUGUACACACCGCCCGUCACACCAUGGGAGUGGGUUGCAAAAGAAGUAGGUAGCUUAACCUUCGGGAGGGCGCUUACCACUUUGUGAUUCAUGACUGGGGUG